GCUAGGCACCGUGGCACAUGCUUGUAAUCCCAGCAGCUUGGGAGGCUGAGGCAGGACGAUCACUUGUGUCCAGGAGUUCAAGGCCAGUCUAGGCAACAUAGCAAGACCUGUCUCAA
rnacentral:sRNA from 1 species